rnacentral:rRNA from 1 species
AAUGAACGUUGGCGGCGUGGAUUAGGCAUGCAAGUCGAGCGCUCAUAGCAAUAUGGGAGCGGCGAACGGCGUAGUAAUAUGUAGGAACGUACCCUCGGGUCGGGGAUAGCCAUGGGAAACUGUGGGUAAUACCCGAUAAUCUCUGCGGAGCAAAGGUGUGAUUCCGCCUGAGGAGCGGCCUACACGAUAUUAGCUAGUUGGUAGGGUAAUGGCCUACCAAGGCUACGAUGUCUAGGGGGUGUGAGAGCAUGGCCCCCACGACCGGAACUGAGAUACUGUCCGGACACCUACGGGUGGCUGCAGUCGAGAAUCUUCCGCAAUGGACGAAAGUCUGACGGAGCGACGCCGCGUGCGGGAUGAAGGCCCUUGGGUUGUAAACCGCUGUCAGAGGGGAUGAAAUCUUCGGAGGUGCUCCUCCAAAGUUGACAGAGCCUCAAAGGAAGCACGGGCUAAGUACGUGCCAGCAGCCGCGGUAAAGUCAC